GUUGAACGCUGGCGGCGUGCCUAAUACAUGCAAGUCGAGCGAACAGACGAGGAGCUUGCUCCUCUGACGUUAGCGGCGGACGGGUGAGUAACACGUGGAUAACCUACCUAUAAGACUGGGAUAACUUCGGGAAACCGGAGCUAAUACCGGAGAAUAUAUUGAACCGCAUGGUGCAAUAGUGAAAGACGGUUUUGCUGUCACUUAUAGAUGGAUCCGCGCCGCAUUAGCUAGUUGGUAAGGUAACGGCUUACCAAGGCAACGAUGAGUAGCCGACCUGAGAGGGUGAUCGGCCACACUGGAACUGAGACACGGUCCAGACUCCUACGGGAGGCAGCAGUAGGGAAUCUUCCGCAAUGGGCGAAAGCCUGACGGAGCAACGCCGCGUGAGUGAUGAAGGUCUUCGGAUCGUAAAACUCUGUUAUUAGGGAAGAACAACUGUGUACGUAACUAUGCACGUCUUGACGGUACCUAAUCAGAAAGCCACGGCUAACUACGUG
rnacentral:rRNA from 1 species